rnacentral:rRNA from 1 species
CCUACGGGGGGCAGCAGUGGGGAAUAUUGGACAAUGGGCGAAAGCCUGAUCCAGCCAUGCCGCGUGUGUGAAGAAGGCCUUCGGGUUGUAAAGCACUUUCAGUGGGGAAGAAAGCCUUGGGGCUAAUACCCUCGAGGAAGGACAUCACCCACAGAAGAAGCACCGGCUAACUCCGUGCCAGCAGCCGCGGUAAUACGGAGGGUGCGAGCGUUAAUCGGAAUUACUGGGCGUAAAGCGCGCGUAGGCGGUCUGAUAAGCCGGUUGUGAAAGCCCCGGGCUCAACCUGGGAACGGCAUCCGGAACUGUCAGGCUAGAGUGCAGGAGAGGAAGGUAGAAUUCCCGGUGUAGAGGUGAAAUGCGUAGAGAUCGGGAGGAAUACCAGUGGCGAAGGCGGCCUUCUGGACUGACACUGACGCUGAGGUGCGAAAGCGUGGGUAGCAAACAGGAUUAGAUACCCCGGUAGUC